GGGCCAGCAGCAGCGGUAAUUCUUCCAGUUCCAAUAGGGUAUAUUAAAGUGCACCAGUUAAAAAGUUGGUGAAUUUAUUUGGGGGUUCUACGGUUGUUCGGGAUUGGUCUGUACUGGCGUGUAGAAUUUCUCCCUUUCUGAGUAAACCCAGCAAUG
rnacentral:rRNA from 1 species